AUGAACGCUGGCGGUAUGCUUAACACAUGCAAGUCGAACGCACCUUUCGGGGUGAGUGGCGGACGGGUGAGUAACGCGUGAGAAUCUGCCUUUUGGUCGGGGACAACCACUGGAAACGGUGGCUAAUACCGGAUGUGCCUACGGGUGAAAGAUUUAUUGCCAAAAGAGGAGCUCGCGUCUGAUUAGCUAGUUGGUGGGGUAAGAGCUUACCAAGGCAGCGAUCAGUAGCUGGUCUGAGAGGACGAUCAGCCACACUGGGACUGAGACACGGCCCAGACUCCUACGGGAGGCAGCAGUGGGGAAUUUUCCGCAAUGGGCGAAAGNCUGACGGAGCAAUACCGCGUGAGGGAGGAAGGCUCUUGGGUCGUAAACCUCUUUUGUCAGGGAAGAAGCAAGUGACGGUACCUGACGAAUCAGCAUCGGCUAACUCCGUGCCAGCAGCCGCGGUAAUACGGAGGAUGC
rnacentral:rRNA from 1 species